rnacentral:rRNA from 1 species
GCAGCCGCGGUAAUUCCAGCUCCAAUAGCGUAUAUUAAAGUUGUUGCAGUUAAAAAGCUCGUAGUUGAAUUUUAGGCCUGGCCGGGCGGUCCGUCUUUGGCGAGUACUGUUCUGUGUCGGGUCUUACCUUCUGGUGAACCGGCACGUUCUUUUAUCGCGUGUGCCGUGGGAACCAGGACCAUUACCUUGAAAAAAUUAGAGUGUUUAAAGCGGGCUUUUGCUUGAAUAGAUUAGCAUGGAAUAAUAAAAUAGGACGUUGGUUCUAUUUUGUUGGUCUAGGACCACCGUAAUGAUUAAUAGGGAUAGUUGGG